CAAGUCUUUUUAUAGCCUUUGUCUUGCGCACUUCUAUGCCUCUCCUAUCUGAUCUUGAUUGAUAUCAGAGUUGCACCACUUAUAGGAUCUCAACUCACUCUGCUCUGAACAUUGUUUUUUACUGGAGAGAGGAGAGCAGAUUUGGACCGGAAGGGUUGGGGACAGAAUGUUUGCCAUAGACAUUUUGGUGUGUGCGGAGAACAAACAACUAGACACGCAUUAAGUCCUUUAGUGUGUGAUCUCUUGACCUGCAAUUCAUGCAGAACAUCUGCAGAUUUGAUUUUGACAUUUAAGGAACAUGCAGAUUUUGUGCACUCUGAAC
rnacentral:lncRNA from 1 species